CAUAACUGCGGAGCACAGGCUUGUUUGUCCGCGGCUGAGAGAGAAACGUAAGGAGGGAAAACACUCGCUCGACUGCAGCAGCAGCAGCAGAGACACCACAGGAACAGACUGAUGCAAAAGGAACACUGACAAAGCAGCCGCAGACCUAGCGGCUACGUGGGAUGAAAGCUCUGCUCCCCCCCUUGGGUUACCAUGGCGUUCCCAGAAGAGUCUGCGCUCCUUGGUUACACGCCGCCCCGUGCAGUUCUCGCGGCGCGGGAGCAGUCUAACUACUUGUCAUCUCACACCCAGCGCGCGCGGACAGAGAGGCAAGAACACAGCAACGGACAGACAGGACAAUAACAGAUCAGAGUUCGCACAUGCACACAUGUGGACAAGACACGCACAGACGCUAUUCUAACGGCCUUAAUAAACAACAGCAGUACAGCUCGA